GAGUUUGAUCCUGGCUCAGGACGAACGCUGGCGGCGCGCUUAACACAUGCAAGUCGAGCGAGAACCAGGCCUUCGGGCCUGGGGACAGCGGCGAACGGGUGAGUAACACGUGGGUAAUCAACCCUCGGUACUGGGAUAGCCCGGGGAAACCCGGAUUAAUACCGGAUGGCCCUUCGGAUCUUCGGUUCUGAAGGAAAAGGUAGCUUCGGCCUCCGACCGAGGACGAGCCCGCGGCGGAUUAGCUUGUUGGUGGGGUAACGGCCUACCAAGGCGGCGAUCCGUAGCUGGUCUGAGAGGACGAUCAGCCACACUGGGACUGAGACACGGCCCAGACUCCUACGGGAGGCAGCAGUGGGGAAUCUUGCGCUAAUGCGGGAAACCGUGACGCAGCGACGCCGCGUGAGGGAAGAAGGCC
rnacentral:rRNA from 1 species